UAUGAACUGGGACUGUUCUGUAUGAGCGGAGGUGUUGGAGGAAAUUGAAUGAGGUAUGUGUGGAUCAGGGCCAGAGCCGGAACCACAGCCAGAC